CAGGCAGGGCUGUAUCUUCAUCACCGCAUUGGGCCUUAUAUUUGUGGAGAAUGGAAUUAUGGGGGAUUCCCUGUUUGGCUAAAAUUUGUGCCUGGGAUUGAGUUUAGAACAGACAAUUAGCCUUUUAAGGUGGGUAUGCAUCGGUUUGUUGAAAAAAUUGUGAACAUGAUGAAAGUGGAGAAAAUGUUUGAACCUGACGGUGGACCUAUUAUUAUGAAUCAGAUUGAAAACGAGUAUGGACCAGUGGAGUAUGUUAUUGGUGCCAAAGGGCUAUUAAAAUGGUCCAUGCGUCCUCUACGAAUGGAAAGAAAGGACGCAGUAAAACUGCUUGGGAAAUUGUCAAGGCUCCUCGUCAACCGGAUAGUAACCAAUGCGGUUUCUUUGUCAUGGCGUACAUGAAAACUUUAAUUGAGAAUAUGCCAGACUUCGAUGAUAAA